GACGAACGCUGGCGGCGUGCCUAACACAUGCAAGUCGAACGGAGAUAUUUAUUUCGGUAGAUAUCUUAGUGGCGAACGGGUGAGUAACGCGUGAACAAUCUGACCUGAAGAGGGGGAUAACAACGAGAAAUCGUUGCUAAUACCGCAUAAGACCACAAUGCCGCAUGGCGAAGGGGUCAAAGGAGCAAUCCGCUUCAGGAGGGGUUCGCGUCCCAUUAGGUAGUAGGCGGGGCAACGGCCCACCCAGCCGACGAUGGGUAGCCGAGCUGAGAGGCUGAUCGGCCACACUGGAACUGAGACACGGUCCAGACUCCUACGGGAGGCAGCAGUGGGGAAUAUUGGGCAAUGGGCGAAAGCCUGACCCAGCAACGCCGCGUGAAGGAAGAAGGUCUUCGGAUUGUAAACUUCUGUCGCAGAUGACGAAGGAAGUGACGGUAAUCUGUGAGGAAGCCCCCGGCUAACUACGUGCCAGCAGCCGCGGUAAUGUCUAGC
rnacentral:rRNA from 1 species